GACACGUGGGCAUUUAUUUAAACAUUAUAUACAUAUUCCACCGGACUUCGUAUUACAUAUGUUUUGUAACUGAAGGAAAAGCUAAGAAAAUAUUUAAAAAGGAUAAGAUAAAAUAAACAUACAAGUUCUAAUGUUUUCUUACUGCGUCACUCCGUAGGGUGAAUGGAUCCAUUUUGGAGACCACCACUCUAGACAGUUCCUACUGCUCCUGUUACCUGUACCAAGAGCUCUUUUCUCCUUUAUUUCACAAAGGUGUGGCCAUAUGACACUUCUCACCCAUGGAACUGGCCUGGCAGGGAGGGGACUCACUUCUGGGAAGGGCUUUUAAGGUACAGGUUGAGAUUCUUCUUUUUUCAUUUCCCUGUCUGCCAGUUGGGUGCAGAAUCCUUUGAAGCCUUGGGAAUGGUGAGCUACAGAUGAAGGGAGCAGGUCCCUUAGUCACCAGUCAUCGAGUAGAACUACAUACCAAACAGGAACACCAGUUUUGGACUGCUAUUUGAGAAAUCAGCAUUUAAGGUGUUAAGCUGUUAAAAUUGGGGGGUUUAUUUGUUACAGAAGCUAAUCUAAAGCUUUCGUUUGGGCUGAUUCUGGGUGGUCCUCUGUGCAAAGAGGGAGAGAGAAAAUAAAUCAAAGCAUCAAAUAAAAUAAUAUAGGGUA
rnacentral:lncRNA from 12 species